rnacentral:rRNA from 1 species
CUUGUCUCAAAGAUUAAGCCAUGCAUGUCUAAGUAUAAGCAAUUUAUACGGUGAAACUGCGAAUGGCUCAUUAAAUCAGUUAUCGUUUAUUUGAUAGUACCUUACUACAUGGAUACCUGUGGUAAUUCUAGAGCUAAUACAUGCUGAAAACCCCGACUUCGGAAGGGGUGUAUUUAUUAGAUAAAAAACCAACGCCCUUCGGGGCUCCUUGGUGAUUCAUAAUAACUUAACGAAUCGCAUGGCCUUGCGCCGGCGAUGGUUCAUUCAAAUUUCUGCCCUAUCAACUUUCGAUGGUAGGAUAGUGGCCUACCAUGGUGGCAACGGGUAACGGGGAAUUAGGGUUCGAUUCCGGAGAGGGAGCCUGAGAAACGGCUACCACAUCCAAGGAAGGCAGCAGGCGCGCAAAUUACCCAAUCCCGAUACGGGGAGGUAGUGACAAUAAAUACUGAUACAGGGCUCUUUUGGGUCUUGUAAUUGGAAUGAGUACAAUCUAAAUCCCUUAACGAGGAACAAUUGGAGGGCAAGUCUGGUGCCAGCAGCCGCGGUAAUUCCAGCUCCAAUAGCGUAUAUUAAAGUUGUUGCAGUUAAAAAGCUCGUAGUUGAACCUUGGGUCUGGCUGGCCGGUCCGCCUCACCGCGAGUACUGGUCCGGCUGGACCUUUCCUUCUGGGGAACCCCAUGGCCUUCACUGGCCGUGGCGGGGAACCAGGACUUUUA